CCUACGGGUGGCAGCAGUAGGGAAUUUUCGUCAAUGGGCGCAAGCCUGAACGAGCAAUGCCGCGUGAACGAGGAAGGUCUUCGGAUCGUAAAGUCCUGUUGAAGGGGAAAAAGAGCGGAGAGUGGAAAGGAAAACCGAUGGAUAUCACCCUUCGAGGAAGUCACGGCUAAAUACGUGCAAGCAGCCGAGGUAAUACGAAGGUGGCGAGCGUUAUCCGGAAUGAUUGGGCGUAAAGGGUGCGUAGGCGGCCUGCUAAGCCGGGAGUGAAAGGUUCAGGCUCAACCGGUACAGGCACUUGAAACUGGCGGGCUAGAGAGCAGGAGAGGGCGGUGGAACUCCAUGUGUAGCGGUAAAAUGCGUAGAUAUAAGGAAGAACACCAGUGGCGAAGGCGGCCGCCUGGCCUGUUACUGACGCUGAGGCACGAAAGCGUGGGGAGCAAAUAGGAUUAGAUACCCCAGUAGUC
rnacentral:rRNA from 1 species